rnacentral:tRNA from 1 species
GCAGUCGUGGCCGAGUGGUUAAGACGGUGGACUAGAAAUCCAUUGGGGUCUCCCAGCAGAGGUUCGAAUCCUGUCGACUGCG